rnacentral:sRNA from 1 species
GCCAGGUGUGGUGGUGCACACCUGUAAUCCCAGUGGCUUAGGAGGCUGAGGCAGGAGGAUCACUAGUUCAAAGUCAGCCUCAACUUAACAAGGCCCUAAGCAACUCAGUGAGACCCUGUCUCUA